GACAUGUUGAGCUUAUGUGACCGUGUGAUGUCCGGCGUCCGUUGUGUGUGCGUGUGCGUCCGUCAACAAUUUGUUUGUGUAGACAGUAGAGGGCACAGUUUUCAUCCAAUCUUUAUGAAAUUUGGUCAGAAUGUUUAUCUUGAUGAAAUCUGGGUUGGGAUUUUAUUUUGGUAAUCUGGGGUCAAAAACUAGGUCACUAGGUCAAAAACUAGGUCAAAUAAUAGAAAAACCUUGUGUAGACAGUAGAGGUCACAGUUUUCAUCCAAUCUUUAUGAAAUUUGGUCAGAAUGUUUAUCUUGAUAAAAUCUGGGUUGGGAUUGUAUUUGGGUCAUCUGGGGUCAAAAACUAGGUCACUAGGUCAAAAACUAGGUCAAAUAGUAGAAAAACCUUGUGUAAACAGCAGAGGUCACAGUUUUCAUCCAAUCUUUAUGAAAUUUGGUCAGAAUGUUUAUCUUGAUAAAAUCUGGGUUGGGAUUGUAUUUGGGUCAUCUGGGGUCAAAAACUAGGUCACUAGGUAAAAAACUAGGUCAAAUAAUAGAAAAACCUUGUGUAGACAAUAGAGGUCGCAGUUUUCAUCCAAUCUUUAUGAAAUUUGGUCAGAAUGUUUAUCUUGAUGAAAUCUGGGUUGGGAUUGUAUUUGGGUCAUCUGAGGUCAUAAACUAGGUCACUAGGUCAAAUAAUAGAAAAACCAUUAAAAAUUUGUUUGUGUAGACAGUAGAGGUCACAGUUUUCAUCCAAUCUUUAUGAAAUUUGGUCAGAAUGUUUAUCUUGAUGAAAUCUGGGAUGGGAUUGUAUUUGGGUCAUCUGGGGUCAAAAACUAGGUCACUAGGUCAAAAACUAGGUCAAAUAAUAGAAAAACCUUGUGUAGACAGUAGAGGUCACAGUUUUCAUCCAAUCUUUAUGAAAUUUGGUCAGAAUGUUUAUCUUGAUAAAAUCUGGGUUGGGAUUGUAUUUGGGUCAUCUGGGGUCAAAAACUAGGUCACUAGGUCAAAAACUAGGUCAAAUAGUAGAAAAACCUUGUGUAAACAGCAGAGGUCACAGUUUUCAUCCAAUCUUUAUGAAAUUUGGUCAGAAUGUUUAUCUUGAUAAAAUCUGGGUUGGGAUUGUAUUUGGGUCAUCUGGGGUCAAAAACUAGGUCACUAGGUAAAAAACUAGGUCACUAGGUCAAAUAAUAGAAAAACCUUGUAUAGACAAUAGAGGUCACAGUUUUCAUUCAUUCUUUAUGAAAUUUGGUCAGAAUGUUUAUCUUGAUGAAAUCUGGGUUGGGAUUGUAUUUGGGUCAUCUGGGGUCAAACACUAGGUCACUAGGUCAAAUAAUAGAAAAACCUUGUAUAGACAAUAGAGGUCACAGUUUUCAUUCAAUCUUUAUAAAAUUUGAUCAGAAUGUUUAUCUUGAUGAAAUCUGGGUUAGGAUUGUAUUUGGGUCACCUGGGGUCAAAAACUAGGUCACUAGGUCAAAUAAUAGAAAACCUUGUGUAGACAAUAGAGGUUACAGUUUUCAUCUAAUCUUUAUGAAAUUUGGUCAGAAUGUUUAUCUUGAUUAAAUCUGGGUUGGGAUUGUAUUUGGUUAGUUAGGUGAGCGAUUUAGGGCCAUCAUGGCCCUCUUGUU